GACGAACGCUGGCGGCGUGCUUAACACAUGCAAGUCGAACGGGCCCGCUCUCUUUUUUGGGGGUGGGUUGAGUGGCGAACGGGUGAGUAUCACGUGAGUAACCUGCCCCCUGCUCCUGGAUAACUGCUUGAAAGGGCGGCUAAUACGGGGUGUGCCGGCUGGUCCGCAUGGGCCUGGUCGGGACAGUUUCAUCUUCGGGGGUUUCCGUGGGGGAUGGGCUCGCGGCCUAUCAGCUUGUUGGUGGGGUGAUGGCCCACCCAGGCGGUGACGGGUAGCCGGCCUGAGAGGGUGGGCGGCCAGCCUGGGACUGAGACACGGCCCGGACUCCUGCGGGAGGCAGCAGGGGGGGGUAUUGCACGAUGGGCGGAAGCCUGAUGCAGCGACGUCGCGUGAGGGAUGGAGGCCUUCGGGUGGUGAACCUCUUUCUCCGGUGGUGAAGGCCCUGUCCGUUGCGGCGGGGUUGACGGUAGCCGGGUAUGAAGCGCCGGCUAACUACGUG
rnacentral:rRNA from 1 species